GCUAUAUAAUGAGGACUAAGUCAACCUCUGCAUAUAAAAACAUGACACAGGGCUGGGACAUAACUCUCAAAGGGAUACUGCUGAAUAGGUACAAUGCUAUGCAAUGAAUUGUGACCCCCCAAAUUCAUGUGUCGAAGCCCUAACCCCCAAUAUGAUGGUAUAUGAAGAUGAAACCUUUGGGAGGUCAUUAUGUUUAGAUGAGAUCAUAAAGGUGGGGUCUCAUAAUAGUUUUAGUGCCCUUAAGAGACACCAGAGAACUUGCUUCUCUCUCUCUCUCCCUGCCAUGCAAGCACACAGCAAGAAGGAGGCCAUCAGCAAACUGGGAAGAGGACCCUCACCAGGAACCACAUCUGCCAGCACCUUGAUCUUGAACUUCUCAGCCUCCAGAACGGUAAAUCAGACACCGCCUAUUCACCAGCUCAUCUAUAAAACCCCCUGCAUUUCACCGCAGAACUGGAACCUAUUUUACCAGGACCCCUCUCUGCAGCAGAGAGCUCUUCUCUUUCUUUCGCCUAUUAAACUUCCACUCUUAACCUC
rnacentral:lncRNA from 1 species